GGGAUUCCACUGGAUCCAUUAUAGUUUGGGCCCUGGCUGAUGUCACUCCAGGCAGUGAGCAACCAGCAAGACCUAUGACAUGCCCAGAAACUGCCAUGAUGAGGAGAAUGGGAGGAGAUGAUGGAGGGAAGAAUACUGUCUCUUACUGAAUUCAAGCUCAUGUUCUCCACUGAUGUUGUAAAAGCAGCCUUUGGGUAUGUGUAUUUAAGUACUGGGAUCUCAUAUCAAAGGAACAGAGAGACCUCUUGGGAUUGAGAGCCUAUAAAUCCUGCUUUCCCCUCUCUAUAGGUAGUACAAUGAUCUGUUUGUUUAUCAGAACUCGAGUUACCAGAGGUUUUUCCUCUCCACAUGUUUCCUUAUUCCCACAAUUUCAGACAGCAUUUUGAAGGAGCUAGAAAUUGACAAUCUUGUAACCUCCUCCUCUG